rnacentral:snoRNA from 1 species
GCAAGUGAUGAUUGAAAUUUCUUCACUUUGACCUGACUAAAUCAGUGAUGAUAAUCUUCAGUCUGAGC